rnacentral:rRNA from 1 species
GGCUCAGAUUGAACGCUGGCGGCAGGCCUAACACAUGCAAGUCGAGCGGAUGAAAGGGGCUUGCUCCUGGAUUCAGCGGCGGACGGGUGAGUAAUGCGCAGGAAUCUACCUCGUAGUGGGGGAUAACGUUUCGAAAGGAACGCUAAUACCGCAUACGUUCUGAGGAAGAAAGCAGGGGACCUUCGGGCCUUGCGCUAUGAGAUGAGCUUGCGUCCGAUUAGCUAGUUGGUGGGGUAAAGGCCUACCAAGGCGACGAUCGGUAACUGGUCUGAGAGGAUGAUCAGUCACACUGGAACUGAGACACGGUCCAGUCUCCUACGGGAGGCAGCAGUGGGGAAUAUUGGACAAUGGGGGCAACCCUGAUCCAGCCAUGCCGCGUGUGUGAAGAAGGCCUUCGGGUUGUAAAGCACUUUAAGCGGGGAGGAAGGGCUUGAGGCUAAUAUCCUUGAGCAUUGACGUUACCCGCAGAAUAAGCACCGGCAAACUUCGUG